rnacentral:rRNA from 1 species
GGCUCACAAAGGCGACGAUCCAUAGCUGGUCUGAGAGGAUGAUCAGCCACACUGGGACUGAGACACGGCCCAGACUCCUACGGGAGGCAGCAGUGGGGAAUCUUGCACAAUGGGCGAAAGCCUGAUGCAGCCAUGCCGCGUGAAUGAUGAAGGCCUUAGGGUUGUAAAAUUCUUUCGUCAGGGAUGAUAAUGACCGUACCUGAAGAAGAAGCCCCGGCUAACUUCGUGCCAGCAGCCGCGGUAAUACGAAGGGGGCUAGCGUUGUUCGGAAUUACUGGGCGUAAAGCGCACGUAGGCGGACUUUUAAGUCAGGUGUGAAAUCCCGGGGCUCAACCUCGGAACUGCAUUUGAAACUGGAAGUCUCGAGACCAGGAGAGGUUAGCGGAAUACCGAGUGUAGAGGUGAAAUUCGUAGAUAUUCGGUGGAACACCAGUGGCGAAGGCGGCUAACUGGACUGGUACUGACGCUGAGGUGCGAAAG